rnacentral:rRNA from 1 species
AGUCGUACGCUUCUUUUUCCACCGGAGCUUGCUCCACCGGAAAAAGAAGAGUGGCGAACGGGUGAGUAACACGUGGGUAACCUGCCCAUCAGAAGGGGAUAACACUUGGAAACAGGUGCUAAUACCGUAUAACAAUCGAAACCGCAUGGUUUUGAUUUGAAAGGCGCUUUCGGGUGUCGCUGAUGGAUGGACCCGCGGUGCAUUAGCUAGUUGGUGAGGUAACGGCUCACCAAGGCCACGAUGCAUAGCCGACCUGAGAGGGUGAUCGGCCACAUUGGGACUGAGACACGGCCCAAACUCCUACGGGAGGCAGCAGUAGGGAAUCUUCGGCAAUGGACGAAAGUCUGACCGAGCAACGCCGCGUGAGUGAAGAAGGUUUUCGGAUCGUAAAACUCUGUUGUUAGAGAAGAACAAGGAUGAGAGUAACUGUUCAUCCCUUGACGGUAUCUAACCAGAAAGCCACGGCUAACUACGUGCCAGCAGCCGCGGUAAUACGUAGGUGGCAAGCGUUGUCCGGAUUUAUUGGGCGUAAAGCGAGCGCAGGCGGUUUCUUAAGUCUGAUGUGAAAGCCCCCGGCUCAACCGGGGAGGGUCAUUGGAAACUGGGAGACUUGAGUGCAGAAGAGGAGAGUGGAAUUCCAUGUGUAGCGGUGAAAUGCGUAGAUAUAUGGAGGAACACCAGUGGCGAAGGCGGCUCUCUGGUCUGUAACUGACGCUGAGGCUCGAAAGCGUGGGGAGCAAACAGGAUUAGAUACCCUGGUAGUCCACGCCGUAAACGAUGAGUGCUAAGUGUUGGAGGGUUUCCGCCCUUCAGUGCUGCAGCUAACGCAUUAAGCACUCCGCCUGGGGAGUACGACCGCAAGGUUGAAACUCAAAGGAAUUGACGGGGGCCCGCACAAGCGGUGGAGCAUGUGGUUUAAUUCGAAGCAACGCGAAGAACCUUACCAGGUCUUGACAUCCUUUGACCACUCUAGAGAUAGAGCUUCCCCUUCGGGGGCAAAGUGACAGGUGGUGCAAGGUUGUC